GAUGAACGCUGGCGGUAUGCCUAACACAUGCAAGUCGUACGAGAGUUUUUAACUCUAGUGGCGGACGGGUGAGUAACACGUGAGAAUUUGCCUUUAGGAGGGGGAUAACAAUUGGAAACGAAUGCUAAUACCCCAUAUGCUUUUGAGUGAAAUGGAUUUUAUCCGCCUAGAGAGAAGCUCGCGGCUGAUUAGCUUGUUGGUAAGGUAAGAGCUUACCAAGGCGACGAUCAGUAUCUGGUUUGAGAGGACGAUCAGACACACUGGAACUGAGACACGGUCCAGACUCCUACGGGAGGCAGCAGUGGGGAAUUUUGGACAAUGGGCGCAAGCCUGAUCCAGCCAUUCCGCGUGAGUGAAGAAGGCCUUCGGGUUGUUAAAGGCUCUUUCGCAGGGAAGAAACGGAUGCCGACGAA
rnacentral:rRNA from 1 species